CCCUGCUCUCUCAGAGCCCCUGGGGGGUCCAGGUCUGCAGUGGUGCCAGCUCUGCGGCUGGAGGGAGAGACACCGGACACCUUGCUGUAGACAGUGCCCAGCGCCACAGGGCCUCAAACCUGUCUCACAAGCUGCAUCCUCUCUCGGUCGACGGACUAUACUACCUCCCCCCAUUGAGAUAAUGGCUGGUGCCCCAAACCAAGAAAUUCCAGUCCUCCCACAAAGAACAAGAGGAAAAGUAGCUGGAAUUCAUGGAAUGUGUGAAUACUUGUCUGCGGAUAAUUCACCUGCUCCUACUUCUCCCUCCUGUGCUGUCCCGGAGCAGACUGUAAGAUUGGAGCUGGGGGGUCCAGGUCUGCAGUGGUGCCAGCUCUGUGGCUGGAGGGAGAGACACCAGACACCUUGCUGUAGACAGUGCCCAGCGCCACAGGGUACUCCCUCCCAAAAUCUACU